rnacentral:lncRNA from 1 species
GGGAGGAGAAAACUUGGCAGAAGCACCAGUCCGUAAUUCAGAAAUGAUUCCGCCUUAUCGCAUUCUGCAAAUAUCACGCAUAGUGGGAAGUUAAAUUACUGCAUACUGCAAGUGCAGGCAGAGAGAGCACCAUUACGGCCCAGCAAAGGUCUUGCUCUGGGACAUCUGUGAGAGGCAGAAGCCAGCUCUAACCUUGUGCAUGGCAGAAUUCACGUGUGCAGGGCUGCAUCCAGGUUUGUUCCUGCCUCAGCCCCAUUGCCACACUUGCAGAUCUUGUCUGUGACAAAUGCCAGCUGACAAAUUCCACGUUCAGCACUUGGGAUGCACGUGGCAGGAUGGGGACUGUGAGAAGAGGAGAUUUUCUCUUCGGUGGCAUUAAUUACAGGUCGAUCUUCUCCCAUUCUGCAUGCUGUGCAUGGAGGUAAGUGUUUGCAGUCCCCGCUGCUGGUUCGAUGAGGUUUUUCUGGUAGAGUUUGCAGCAGGACCUUCCAGUGUGGUAAUUCAGGUAUAAUAACUUCUCCUCCCCUGAUGGGGCUGACUCGUGGAAUCCAUUAAGCUGUGUGGUUCUGGCUGUGUUCCUGGUUUCCUCGAGAUAAAGGCUUUUUAGUUUUUUGCUUGAAGUAAAUGUUUAUUUGUUAUCAACAGUUUAGAGUCAGCAAUUGUCAG